GCAAACACACAACAUUUUAAAAACAUUUUUUAAAUGUCAUAUGGACGUCUCUCACAAAAUAUUUCAAUAAGAUAUCAUUUAAACAUAAAAAAAAUGUUUAUUUUAUUGUUUUUGAAAUGUUUUAUUUCUAACAUUUAAGUAAAAUGUUUUUACAACAUUAACAAAAUAUUAUUUGCUAAUAUCUUUUAUUCAUGUUCUCAAACAUUGUUCUAAAAUAUCCCGUAGAUAUUUUAUAAUAUAAAAAAAUAAUAUUUUCUUCAAUUGGUAUUUUAUAUUUUAACAACAUUUAAAGUAAAUAUUUUCCAAAUAUCCAAAAAACAUUCUGCAAAAAAAUGUUUUACAGAAAAUAUAGUUUUGCUAUUUGCAUAAAAUGUUUUAUAACGUAAAAUUAAAAUGUUUUACAUAAAACAUCUGAAAAAUAUCAGCUAAAUGUUUUCUAUAAAAUAUUCUGACAUACACAUUACUUAAUAGUCUUACUGAUAUUUUAUUCAACAUUUUACGGAUAUAAAAAUAACAUUUUAUUUAAACUUUAUUCAAAACCCCACACACAACGUUUUGUGGAAUUAGCUCGUUUUUUUCAGGAUAAGAUAUAGUACUACAUUUCAUCAAUAUCAUGACAAGCAAGAUACUAUGGUUGAAAUCCUUAAUUGAUAUCUUGAAGAUCCUUGAAGUCAGAUUGUAUUCCUUCUUAUAUUAAAAUUCAAAAGAGUCAACAUUAAAUUACGCAAUAAUGUAUUAAUAAACAAUCACCUUUUUUGUUUAAUGUUUAUUCAUUUCGUUCGUGUAUAUUUUAGAAAUUAAGAAAUGAAAACUGUAACUGUACUAAGUUCAAUUUUCGUAUCGUUUAAAUGUCUUACGGAAAACCGACCUUUUCCGGAAUCGACUUUUGUUUUAUCACCGGAAAUGAUUUUGAAAUUUGAAUUUCGAAACGAAGACAGGAUGUCAACAAAGAGAGCCAAGAAAAUUGUUUGUUACGCGAUAUAUACUCACUUGGAGCUAAAAGAAAAGCCACAAAGGACAAGUUCAAUAUGCAGGUUUACAAUUUGGAAGUGGCGCAGGUUCUUUGGAAUGUCUACAACCUUUCAGGAGAAUUUUUUUUUUUGAAAAGCAUGGCACAGCAAGAAAAAGAUAUAAGACACUACAAGACAUUCCAAGUGAUUUUGAAUAAGACAAUUGAUUGACUUUUUCAAUGUAUUCUUAAAUAAAUCAAAUAGUUGAUGUAAAA